GUGCAUCUGAUCUUCUCGGUCAUUAGCCCUCAAGAACACUUUCCAAGCAAUCAUUAUCUCCCUUUCUUUUUCUUUCUCGCCGACCACCCCACCACCACCUUCCACCGUCGCCUGCCGUCACGUCCGACCACCACCAUCCGUCCACCUUAUUCUCUCCAUCCCCGACCAGUAAAUCCAACCCCCACCCUGUUCGACGCCGCAAAACCACUUUUCCAGCCAUCUUUUUUAAUAGAGGCAGAAAAAUCCAGUGACUUUUUCCGGUGAAUCAAAGCUAUUUUCCGGUGAAAUUCCUCCCGUUUUCCGAAAAGAAAAUUCCAGUGAGUUCCCGUCUUUGUUCCGGCCGUAUCUCAACUUAUUCGAUGGUGAAUCUCUGCCUGCUCAUUCUUACCCAAAACCAAUAAACUCAAAGCACGUUUCAAUGGUGAGUUUCACUACCGCAUUUAUACAAAUUUACUGUUUUCAGGGGACAAUACAUUUUAAACGAUAUAUAGUUUUUGUAAUCUCAGUUUGAUAAUUAUCGUUUAUUAUAAACUGAAAUCGUUAUAUAUUCGUUAUUAUAACCGUCACUAAAAUUGUCACGUUUAUAUAACAACGAUAAAUGAUAUUAUUGGAAUCAUUCAUUUAUAUAACGAUAAAUGGUAUUAUUGGAAUCAUUGUUUUAAAGCUUGGAUAUUAGUUUUGCAUUGUCGUUACUCUCCUCCUAUGAUAUGGAUAUUUAUUAUACUUUGUCGUUACUCUAUCCAUAUAAUAUGAAUAUUUAUUAAACCAUGUCGUUAUUCUGACUGUAUAAUAUGAAUAUUUAUUAUACUCUAUUGUUAAGAUGUCUAUAUAAUAUGUAUAUUUAUUAUACUUUGUCGUUACGCUGCCUAUUAAAUUUUUACAAGAUAAUUAAAUGAUAUAAUUAUAAAACAUUAUCAUAAUUAUACAACACAAAAAUUGUCUUACUUGAACUUAGAAAGCUAUGGCUAUAAUUUUUUUAGUGUAAUUCACUCAAUGGGUUAUAUGAGAGACAAUCAUGAUCUAAGUUUAAUACUAAGACUCCGAAUUAUAAUCGUUAAAUCUUAAGUGAGCGAAAUAGUUAUGUAUAGAUCUAUAUGGGCUGACACCCCCACAUAUGGUUGUUAUCUACAACCAUAACGGUCAAGUCAUAAGUGAUAAUUGUCUAAACAAUACGACGUCCAAUGAAGCGUCAUGAGAGGCAAUAAAUCGUCAACAACUCGAUUACAUGAACUCAUGGUAACAUUGAUAAACGCGCCUAAAAGCAAAUGCAUAUAUAAGUUGAAACAAUACUUAUAUACAGUAAAACGCUACUUUUGGAUAAAAGUACACAUAUUUAUAUAAGUUAGAAUUACUUAUAUACAAUAAAACUCUACUUUGGACAAAAGUACACAUAUUUAUAUAAGUUAAUAAUACUUAUAUGCGAUAAAACAAUUACUUUUAGUAUGAAAAAUACACUUGUAACGACAUAUUUUUUAUUGAGAAAAUACAUUUUUAACGAACAUACUUUCAGUUGAGAACGUAUGUUUCUAGUAAACAUACUUUUGAUAUAAAAAGUACAUACAUAUAAGUUUGGAAAUACUUUUAUACGAUGAAAACAUAUACUUUUGCUAAAAAGUACAUACCAUUUAAACUUUAAGAAGAUGUCAACUCACUAACUUUAUGUUGACGCUUUUAAAAUCACAUGUAUUCUUGGGGAACUAAAAGUCAGACACAUAUCAUCUUUUGGAACAAUCAUGGACUCGUAGGCGUAUUGUUUUAUCAUUUUUGUUUAUUCAAACUGCCUAAUUGUUAAGGUAGCGUUUGUACCUUAAUUAUUAGCAUCUCAAAAGUUAAUAUGAUAUGUAAUAUUUUAUUUUGUAAUAGUAGUGAUAUUUAUGUUAUAAUUUUUUGUAUUGUUCAAUGUAAUCAAUAUCUGUAAUCCAUGAUGACGUUGCACAACCUCAUGUUUCUACCGGCUGACGGGGGUGUGACAUAUUACACCAAAAAUCACUUUAUAAAAGCAUGUAAAUAAAAUAUGCCUUUUUAAACCACCUACAUCACUAGCAUGCCUUCCCAAAUUCUAAGAUAAACAUGUUAUUCUAGAAUUAUCGCAUGCAUAUGCUUCACACUUUAAUCAUCGAAUAUAAUUCUCACCUCUGGCAUGAACCUAACCACCAAUUUCAUGCAAACAAAUCAUAUCAUGGUGUCUAGCAUAUAAAUUCACCUAGUUAAAUUGAUCAUAGAGAAACAAUAAAAUCUAAUAGCCCAGACUUCCUGUAUAAUCAUAAUAUAACAUCACAUACAAAGUCCUGUACCAAUAGACUUGUACUAACACAUGUAAGCCUCCAUAAUUUGUACUAGAUAACCAUAAGAAUGACCCGCCUCUAAUCCCGAAUGAAAUGAACUAGGAAUGGAGGAAAUCAACCCUUCAGCAAACAAUCAAACAACCUACAACAUAUUAUCACAAUCCGGAUUAGAAAUGACACCAAAACAAACAACAAAACUGCAAUUUUCAAGUCAUCAGGCGCGCUGCACUAAGGGUAGGGCGCUUUGUGUGGAAUGACCGCAGAAGAAUCAGAAGGAAAAGAUAAGUGCUAAGGCGAAGUUAUGCCCAAAUUCAAAGGCAUCUACCUUUAAAAUAUGAGUGCAUAAUUACUUUCAUUUUACACAUAUAUUGAAUGUUAUAUGUGCUUAUGUAUAAAAGAUGUUAUGUGUUACAUGAAAUAUUAUAAAGUUAAAUUUUAUAUAACUUAUUCUAUAUAUGUGUUUUCAUGAAUAUAAUACAUUGGGUAAUGGAGGAUAAUGAUAGGCUGUGAUGAUAAGAUAUCAUAGUAUGGUGAGAGUUAAGAUGCUAUGAUGAGAGAUAAAACUGAUAAGAUGCAUAGUAUCAAGACUGAUGAAAAUGACAAUAGGAGGUCACGACGUUAAUAGUAAUAGUGUACUAAUGAUCUAGAAAUGGUACUGGUAUACUGACAGUGUAGAAUUGGUUCUAGUGUACUAACAAUGUAGUCAUAUAACAAAGUAUAGGUGACGACCACCAGAAUAUUCAAGACAUCCCUGUGAAACACAUGCAAGUUUAUAAUCUAUAGGUGAUGAAAUUUGUUCCCAUUUGAUGUACUCUACUUCCUACUGACAUGUAUUGUAGAGAAAUUUCUAAAAUAGUACUGUCAACAACAAUGAUUAAGAUGAUCCUUAGGAAUGAAUAUAGAAAGAAACCUACUGACAUGUAUUACGGAGAAUCCCUGAAACAGUAAUGUAAGUAACGAUGAUUAAGAUGAUCCUUAGGAAUGAAUAUAGAAAGAAACCUACUAACAUGUAUUGCGGAGAAAUCCAUGAAACAAUAUUGUCAGGAAUGAUGAAUAAGAUGACCCUUAGAAUUGAUCCUUAAGGACGAAUAAAGAAGAAAAUGGGGACGAGCAAUCGGGUUAACUGUAUGAUAAUUAAAAAUAUUUACAAUAUUAUUGUGGGUUGAAGACCCUAUGUAGUCACCGGAUUUCCCAACCCGAUCCACUUAGUUUCUUUGUAUCACAUAUAUCAAUACGAAGGUAUUUAAUGUUUGGAUCUGAUGAGAGAUUAAAGGAAAUGCAGGUAAUUAGAUGAUGUAAGGACAUUAAAGAAUACAUUUAUGCUUAUGUUUCUUGUAUCAGUUAUGACAUCCUAAGGCUAUAUAAAUCAAUGAAAAACAUUUCUUUGGAAAUACUUUUACGGGACCAAUUCCGCAUUUAUAAAUAAACUUUGUUUUUUAAAUAAACAUAAACAAAAUGGUAUUUUCUAGUUGAGAAAAGUGGGGAUGUCAUAGUUGGUGUCAGAGCUUUAGUUUAAGUGAACUAGGAAUUUUUAGGAUUUUCAUACUUAAACAUAGAAUGCUAAGUGAUGAUCGUGAGAUGUGUGUCUAUUAUAUAUCUAGGUUGUAACAUCCUAACCGUCAGGUAUCAUUAUUAUUCCUUUUAGAUUUCAUUUUUUUAAGGUCUACUCCACGAGUUGACGCUGUGAAUCGUCGAGUAGCAGCGGGCCAUGACAUAUCAUUUAAUGAGUGACUCAUCGAGUCAGCAUGGGGGACUCGACGAGUAGGAGCUGGCAGUGGAAAACCCUAAAUUUCAGGGUUUUUGCACCCUGUAUAAUGGACCAUUAGCGCCUCCCACUGUCCUCUAUCACCCCCUUGAGAGCCAGAAACGCUAAUUUCCGUGAGUGUGAGCUUGAGAGUGUUUGGAGCUUUGAGAAGUGAAUUUUGUGAAGGAAACUUGUAGAUCAAGAGGCUAGCAUCAAGGAUUUCGUGUGGAUCCAGAAUCCACUCCAGCUUGGGCACGUUUUGGGAGGUAAUAAGCUGCUACCUUAACCUCUUUUCUUCUAGAAUCAUUCAUAUGUGGAGGCUAGGGCUUUCUUUGGUUAUUCAUUAAGGGAUUUUGUUAUGGGAGCUAGAUCGGAAGCUGAAACUUCAGAUAUGAACCUCUUUUGAGUCCUAAGUCCAUAAAGUUUCCAGCUCUUUCAAGGAUGAGACUCUCCUAAGGUGUAAAGCUCAAUUAGAAACUAAGAUUGGUCAUUUAGAGCCCCUAGGGCCUUGUAUGCACGUAAAGUUUGCAACUUUACGUGAUAAACAUUCCCUAGAAGCUUGGAUCUGCAAUAUGGAGCCGCUGCAUGGCUUAAAAAGCGUCUGUAUGGAUGAUGGACUGAAGGGACUCGGCGAGUCGCAAGGUNCAUUUAGAGCCCCUAGGGCCUUGUAUGCACGUAAAGUUUGCAACUUUACGUGAUAAACAUUCCCUAGAAGCUUGGAUCUGCAAUAUGGAGCCGCUGCAUGGCUUAAAAAGCGUCUGUAUGGAUGAUGGACUGAAGGGACUCGACGAGUCGCAAGGUCGACUCGGCGAGCCACAUGAAGAUGGCCAUGUACUCGACGAGUUGGAUGAACAACUCGACGAGUCCGUUGAAGAUUGCCUUGAACUCGACGAGUCGUUCGAAGACUCGGCGAGUCGGCUAGGGUUUCUCCCAAUCCCUGGACACGUAUGAAAUCGGUGAGUUAAAGGGGAACUCGACGAGCCAAUCAAGGUUUUCACGACUUCUCGAGUUCAGGGAGGACUCGACGAGUCGAGUCAACAUGUACUGUUGACUUUGACUAUGGACUUUGACUUUGACCUAGAGUUGAUAAGUUGACUUCUGAGGGUAUUCUCGUAAUUUGGAGUUUUAUGAAAAAGGGGUUUUAUGGUAACUAUAGGUGGUGAAGUUCGUGUUGGUGAUCCGGGAGUUGAGCUUUCUAGUUCAGACGACAGUUGCGAGGUGAGUUAUCCUCACUAUACUAAGGGGUCUAAGGCACCAAGGCUGGCCCAUUGGAUAUGUUAUCUUAUCAGUGUUAGAUGUUGAAUAUGAGUUGGUGUUAUAUGCUAGUGGUUAUGCCAGUUAGGUAGACCUGUAGGACUACCUGUGAUGUUAUAUGACUAUUGCAUGUUCAGAAGUUAUGUGGGUUGGGUUGAGGUUGUACUGCUCCAUGUGGUAGCCAACAAACCCUAGAGUAUUCCAGAUAUGAUCUGAGGGCCUGGUAGGCAUUCCAGACUCGUCCUGAGGGCUCGAUGGCAUUCCCGAUACGAGCUGAGGGGCCGAUAGGCAUUCCAGACUCAUAUUGAGGGCCUAGGGGUAGUCCAGCUUGUAAAGUUAUGGACCAUUACAUGUUGUUUCAGAUUGUUAUGAUAUGUUAUUGUUGAUAUGGUUAUGUGGACUGUAUGCGUAUCGUUAUUUUGGGUGUAACUCACUAAGCUAUCAGCCAUACAGUUUCAGUUUAUUGUUUCAGAUACAUUAGGGGAUCGCGGCAAGGCGAAGGCGUGAUCGUACAGCUCCUCAUAUUAUGUUUAUGUUUUUGGGAAAAACUAUGAUAAUUAAUAUUUUGAAAACAAAGUUGUAAUGGUUUGAUAAACUUAACAUGUUUUUAAAAGUUUGAAUCGGUUUGAAAUUUUGGGUGUUACAAGUUGGUAUCAGAGCCUUGGUUUGAGUGAAUUGGAGGAACAUUCGUGUGAAUCCAGUCUCAAAUCAAGGGAAGAUUUUCAAUAUGGUUUUAAAUGGUUUUCAAAAUAAGUAAAGGAGGAUGUAGGGUGUACGAUCAGCCGGAGCCAGUAAGUAAACCCCAAAAUACCAUACAGUUACUUGAUUAUGUGAUAUGUUAGAACAACAUGCUAGAGGUAGGCUAGGGAUCUUCAGGAACUGCUUGAUAGAAUUGCAUGGUUAUAUGAUGCCUGCUAGCCUAGGGUUUUCCUUAUAUGAAAUUGACAUCAUUACUGUAGUUGCUCAGUGUAUGCAUCAUGGUUAUACAUAAUUAAGAUCUUAUAGCCUUAGAAUGUUUGAUUUAGCCUGAUGUCCUAUUCUUAUUUGAUUGGGAGCUUAGGGUAGGAUUGGAUAUUCGAAAGUCUAUAGGGUCCAACAUUAUGUAUGGCUAGCAUACACUAGUGCUCCAGGGUUGGUGAAAUUUUCAUGGAUGGGUGGGAUGUGAGAGGCCGGAAGGUCAGUUAUUAGAUAUUUAGCAUUCCUCUAGGAGUGAGGAUUGAGCGCUCGCUAUGUUGUGUAUUCGGUUAGGGCGUUGUGGUGAUACUCUAGACAAAUAUGGAUAGGUGUGGAAGGUAGUAGGGACCCAUACUACUGAAAGCACAGGACCCAUAUGUGUAGCAAGGAAGUCACAACCCCUAGGGUGAGUCGGGAGUUGGCUCCCAGAUAUUUAUGUGGAUUAUAUGACAUCUUGUGGUAUGUUUCAGAAUGGUGAUGACGAGACGUGAUAUGGGCAUAUUUAGUUAUAAAAUUCAUGCAUUAUCUUAAUAAUUUAUGUUGUUUUUAUCUCAUUUAAUGAACAAAAUAAGCUUAAUUAUCUUAAAUAUUUCAUUUUCAGCAAUAAAGACAUGCUCGGAAGGAAAAGGAAGCAGAAUUGGCGAUUGGAAGCUUGGAUAUUGGAUUUUGAAGAAAGAAGGAUGUUGCUGGACAGCUUGACCCCUCGUCAUUGUUUUGGCCAUAUCUCAUCACUACUAGAAAAACAGCCUUUAAUGACGCGCAAACAACGACACUCGCUGAUAGAGGACGCGCAUUGGUGUGUGCCCUAAAAAAUAAUGUCAAUUUUGCAAAAUUUGAACGAUAGUGGACACGCAUUUGUGCGUGCCCUAAAAUUAGUGUAAGAAAAUAAAAAAAAAGAAAUGCGGA
rnacentral:lncRNA from 1 species